rnacentral:rRNA from 1 species
GCCUACGGGGCGCAGCAGUGAGGAAUAUUGGUCAAUGGGCGAGAGCCUGAACCAGCCAAGUCGCGUGAGGGAAGACGGUCCUAUGGAUUGUAAACCUCUUUUGCCGGGGAGCAAAAAGCGGUACGUGUACCGCAUCGAGAGUACCCGCAGAAUAAGCAUCGGCUAACUCCGUGCCAGCAGCCGCGGUAAUACGGAGGAUGCGAGCGUUAUCCGGAUUUAUUGGGUUUAAAGGGUGCGUAGGCGGAUUUUUAAGUCAGCGGUAAAAUGUCCGGGCUCAACCCGGGCCGGCCGUUGAAACUGGGGAU